UCACACCUGUUCCCAUGCCGAACACAGAAGUUAAGCUCCUUAGCGUCGAUGGUAGUCGAACUUACGUUCCGCUAGAGUAGAACGUUGCCAGGCA
rnacentral:rRNA from 57 species